CUCCGGUUGAUCCUGCCGGACCCGACUGCUAUCAGAGUGGGACUAAGCCAUGCGAGUCAACAUAGCAAUAUGUGGCAUACGGCUCAGUAACACGUAGUCAACAUGCCCAGGGGACGUGGAUAACCUCGGGAAACUGAGGAUAAACCGCGAUAAGUCACUACUUCUGGAAUGGGUAAUGACUCAAAUCUACAUGGCCCCUGGAUUGGACUGCGGCCGAUCAGGCUGUUGGUGAGGUAAUGGCCCACCAAACCUGUAACCGGUACGGGCUCUGAGAGGAGGAGCCCGGAGAUGGGCACUGAGACAAGGGCCCAGGCCCUAUGGGGCGCAGCAGGCGCGAAACCUCUGCAAUAGGCGAAAGCUUGACAGGGUUACUCUGAGUGAUUUCCGUUAAGGAGAUCUUUUGGCACCUCUAAAAAUGGUGCAGAAUAAGGGGUGGGCAAGUCUGGUGUCAGCCGCCGCGGUAAUACCAGCACCCCGAGUGGUCGGGACGUUUAUUGGGCCUAAAGCAUCCGUAGCCGGUUCUACAAGUCUUCCGUUAAAUCCACCUGCUUAACAGAUGGGCUGCGGAAGAUACUAUAGAGCUAGGAGGCGGGAGAGGCAAGCGGUACUCGAUGGGUAGGGGUAAAAUCCGUUGAUCCAUUGAAGACCACCAGUGGCGAAGGCGGCUUGCCAGAACGCGCUCGACGGUGAGGGAUGAAAGCUGGGGGAGCAAACCGGAUUAGAUACCCGGGUAGUCCCAGCUGUAAACGAUGCAGACUCGGUGAUGAGUUGGCUUAUUGCUAACUCAGUGCCGCAGGGAAGCCGUUAAGUUUGCCGCCUGGGGAGUACGGUCGCAAGACUGAAACUUAAAGGAAUUGGCGGGGGAGCA
rnacentral:rRNA from 1 species